GGGGCCGACCUGGAUUUGACAGCGGCUUUGUAUUUCGUGUAAGCAUGCCGGGGGUGAGGUGCGCCCCGUAUCCCAGUGCCUCAAUGCUGUAACAGGCAACACAGACUACGCUCUCGCAGCUUAAUAGCCCACGGCUAUUCGGCUUAAUUCGCGCGAAUAACAGUACCGCGAACGAGUACUCCUCGGUGAGGCCCGUCAACCUCCUUGCCGACUACGGGGUGUCAUCAUGGAAGACUGGCCUGUGCGGUGAUCCGUAGUACAGGUAAGACACAGGAUCUAAGUCUUUGGUGGGGUGCCCUUCCCCAGCUAAAGGUCGAAAACCAAUGAAUGGGCUACGCAUGUAGAAAGCUCGUUAUGCGGUUGUUUGGACGAGGGUUCGAUCCCCUCCGGCUCCACAG
rnacentral:tmRNA from 1 species